GCAGGCAACCCGCUUGGGUCUCCUUCCACGCUGUGGAAGCUUUGUUCUUUUGCUCUUUGGGUUCGUGCCAACUUUAAGAGCUGUAACACUCAGGGCGAAGGUCCGCAGCUUCAUUCUUGAAGUCGGCGUAGACCACGAACCCACCGGAAGGAACCAUACUCCGGACACACCAGGACCCUCGGAAUGCCUUCACUGCCUGAGGGACCUGUCCUAGGUGCCAGAGUGAGCAGGGAGGAACACAGGUGUGUCUCGGUGGCUGGAGAACUCAGCCAGGACGACGCCCAGUUUGGAACUGUACCGAAGCUGAGCCCUGCCUUGCACGGCUGAAGCUUAGCCACAGAGGCGGAACUUCCCUGGCUUUUCCUGGAAGCGGAAGCCGUGAAAUGGCCAAAGCACAAGACAGGGUGGUGCAGUUUUGCUCCGGCGCGAUCACCGUUGGCCACGCGCCUCGGUCUCUAUCUGUAAAAGAGAUCCCCAUCUCUGGUAUUUGAUGCUGGAGAGAAAAAUGUGCGGCCUCCGCCCAACCUUGAGUUUCCUGCUCCACCGCGCCCUCUCGUGGUUAACUGGACUCACGGCUUUCUCGCCCCCAACCCCAAACACCUACAUUGCGGUUCUCAAGCUUGGCUGAGCGUGGGAAUCACCCGGGGACCUGCGAGACACCGAUGCCUGGGUACCGGACUCUAUCCGCGCCUCCCCCUGCGAGAGAUUCUGACUUAAUUGGCCUGAUGCAAUCUGGGCGUCCCCUGGGGAUCACAAUGUGCAGUCAAGGCUGGGAAACACUGACCCACUUCUGCUCUGCCAGGGGUCCUGCGUUUGGCUGACGACAUUUCUCCUGUCAGAGCCCACCAGACUCUGCUUUCCGGAUAUUAAGGAUCCUUUUGCAAGUCAAAACACCUCAAUGACGGCAUCACACCCUCAAGCAUCCACCCUCUACUCCUGAAAUACUCAUGAUUAAUAUGUGCUUUUAAUUUCUAUUGCUGGAGAAAAUGUUUCUGAAAAAUUGCACUUACAUAAAUAGAUAAGGCAUAUUAUUUGUAUUAUCUGCUGAAAACAUCCGUGAUGUGUGCAUGUGUGUGCUGCGUAUGCACAGAGCUUCCUCACUAUAAUUUCAGGAGCUUCUCAGGGCCUUAGGUCAGAGAUCCGCUAGCCGUGCCAGGGCACUCUGGCCCUAAUGUUAAAAAUAGACCAUGGCUUUAGCCACUCCUGUCAGUAUCUUGUCUCACUGCCCAGUGCUCCAUUCAUCAGGAGAAAUUCCUGAGCUGCUGCCCAGCCAGUCAGCCAGGCCCAACUGAAAUUCCCAGGGGGCCUGUGAGGGGUCACACGUACUCUUAGCUUCUAGGCUGGACCUCAGGACUCCUAGCAGAAGGAUAUCCACUGUGGCCCUGCGACCUUGUCAAUCGUUUGAUUCACAGCCUCUCAGUGACACUGGCACUCAAUGAGAUGGGCUCCUUUCAUGACACGGUCACCACCAUCAUCACAAUCUCCAGCAUUUUUGGGUUCCUACUAUGUGUACAGCAGUUUUCAGGAACAUUUAUUAUUUAUUUAUUGAGACAAGAGUUUCCCUCUGUCACCCAGGCUGGAGUGCAGUGACAUGAUCUCAGCUCACUGCAACCUCAGCCUCCUGGGCUCAAACGAUUCUUGUACCUCAGCCUCCCAAGUAGUUGGGAUUACAGGCACUCACCACCACACUAGCUAAUUUUUGUAUUUUUAGUAGAGAUGCGGUUUCGCCAUGUUGGCCAGACUGGUCUUGAACUCCUGACCUGAAGUGAUUUGCCCACCUCGGUCUCUCAAAGUGCUGGGAUUACAGGUGUGAGCCUCCAUGCCUGGCCUAUUUUAAAGGAACUUAUAAACAUUAGAAAAUAGUGUCUUUGUCAUCCAAAAAUGUAUAGUCCAGUGGGAGAGAGGGUAAUAACAUGGGGACAUGUGAGAAAAUAAAGUUCUGUUUAAUUCCCUCAGACCCAAUUGA